rnacentral:rRNA from 1 species
GACGAACGCUGGCGGCGUGCUUAACACAUGCAAGUCGAACGGAAAGGCCCUGCUUUUGUGGGGUGCUCGAGUGGCGAACGGGUGAGUAACACGUGAGUAACCUGCCCUUGACUUUGGGAUAACUUCAGGAAACUGGGGCUAAUACCGGAUAGGAGCUCCUGCUGCAUGGUGGGGGUUGGAAAGUUUCGGCGGUUGGGGAUGGACUCGCGGCUUAUCAGCUUGUUGGUGGGGUAGUGGCUUACCAAGGCUUUGACGGGUAGCCGGCCUGAGAGGGUGACCGGCCCCAUUGGGACUGAGAUACGGCCCAGACUCCUACGGGAGGCAGCAGUGGGGAAUAUUGCACAAUGGGCGGAAGCCGGAUGCAGCAACGCCGCGUGCGGGAUGACGGCCUUCGGGUUGUAAACCGCUUUCGCCUGUGACGAAGCGUGAGUGACGGUAAUGGGUAAAGAAGCACCGGCUAACUACGUG